AAUUUUCGGCAAUGGGGGCAACCCUGACCGAGCGACGCCGCGUGAGUGAAGAAGGUCUUCGGAUCGUAAAGCUCUGUCAUCGGGGACGAAGAAGUGACGGUACCCGAGGAGGAAGCCCCGGCUAACUACGUGCCAGCAGCCGCGGUAAUACGUAGGGGGCGAGCGUUGUCCGGAAUUACUGGGCGUAAAGGGUGCGUAGGCGGCCUUAUAAGUCAGAUGUGAAAUACCGAGGCUUAACUUCGGGGGUGCAUUUGAAACUGUAGGGCUUGAGUGCAGGAGAGGAAAGUGGAAUUCCUAGUGUAGCGGUGAAAUGCGUAGAGAUUAGGAGGAACACCAGUGGCGAAGGCGGCUUUCUGGACUGUAACUGACGCUGAGGCACGAAAGCGUGGGUAGCGAACA
rnacentral:rRNA from 1 species